UCGGGGAACUUUUCCAAUGCGCGCAAGCGUGAGAAAGUAAGUCAGAGUGAUUUUGAUAUAAUUUCAAAAUCUUUUGUUCGUUGCAAAAAGACGGACGAAUAAGGAGUGGGCAAGAUCGGUGCCAGCCGCCGCGGUAAUCCCGACGCUCCAAGUCGCAGCCACAAUUAUUGGGUCUAAAACAUUCGUAGCUCGUUUUCUAAGUUCUUUGUGAAAUCUGAAAUCUUAAGUUUCAGGCGCGCAAGGAAUACUGGUAAACUUGAGACCGGAGGAAGUAAGGAGUACGAUCGAGGUAGUAGUAAAAUAUGUUAAUCUUGAUUGGACUAACAACAGCGAAGGCACCUUACUAAUACGGAUCUGACAGUGAGGAAUGAAGGCUAGGGUCGCGAAACGG
rnacentral:rRNA from 1 species